rnacentral:rRNA from 1 species
CCUACGGGUGGCUGCAGUUAAGAAUCUUGCACAAUGGGGGCAACCCUGAUGCAGCGACGCCGCGUGAAUGAUGAAGGCCUUCGGGUUGUAAAGUUCAGUAAGCAGGGAAGAAUAAGCAACGGGAAAUAUUCGUUGUGAUGACGGUACCUGCCUAAAGCCCCGGCUAACUACGUGCCAGCAGCCGCGGUAAUACGUAUGGGGCGAGCGAUGUUCGGAAUUAUGGGGCGAGGCGGGCGAUUAAGCUGGGGGUGAAAGCCACGGGCUCAACCCGUGAACUGCAUCUAAGACUGGUUCUCUUGAGUUCGGGAGAGGAGAGCGGAAUUCCAGGUGUAGCGGUGAAAUGCGUAGAUAUCUGGAAGAACACCAGUGGCGAAGGCGGCUCUCUGGCCUAGAACUGACGCUGAAGCGCGAAAGCGUGGGGAGCGAACAGGAUUAGAUACCCCGGUAGUC